rnacentral:tRNA from 1 species
GGAGAGGUGGCCGAGCGGUUCAAGGCAGCAGGUUGCUAACCUGUGAUCAUGUAAAAGUGAUCCGUGGGUUCGAAUCCCACCCUCUCCGCCA